rnacentral:piRNA from 1 species
UAGAACCUUCAUGAUGCCGCUUUUCAA